rnacentral:ncRNA from 1 species
ACCACUAGGGGAGCCUUUGAGAGAGGCUGAGAUGUAUCUGUGCGAUAUAGACCCUUUGAACCUGAUCUAGCUUACACUAGCGUAGGAAAGUGGCGACAUU